UGUCUUGCAAUACAAGAUGUGAUGCCGAAUGUCACAUGAUCACAACUGAGCCAAUGGUUCUCUCUCUGUCUCUCUCAUUGUAGGACUAUGGGUGAUCGUCGCUUGGAUGCUUGGUCUCAGGCUGUUGUGUUUGGCAGAUAUCAGUGAUUCUUCAGAAUGUUGGAAGGCGCCCAUAACUGACAGUACCUAGAAAAUCUGCAUUACAAACAAGUGUGGUUUGUGAAAUGUUACCAAAUAUCGAUUAAAAAGCUUAUUGACAUCAAUGAUAUUGCUGCUUAUAGUAGCUCCUUAAAUAUACUGUAUAUUCCAGGAGAAGCUCCGUUCGGAAACAUAAAUUCCUGGUGAAUGACCACUGUUUCAGGAAGAGUCAAGUGGUGUAACCAUGACACAAGCAGAAUCACAUGUGUCAUCCAGUCCUGUUAAAGCUACAGUGGUGGGCAUGGGGGGCAGCUGAUGCAAACCGAGGAGGGAGGGAUUACAAGCAUAACCCUGGCUUCAUUUUUAAUACCAUUGUUGAUAUCUUAUUUAGCCAAGAUCAACUUCUUAUAUAACCUAUUUUCUAGCUGGAUAUCUAGUAUUUGAUGACACCUCUGAAGUAGUGUAUUAUCUGAAGUUGUUCAGAAAUGAUUUUCUGAAUGAAUUCCAAAUUGGAUGAUGGGAAUUUUGAAAGGCUGGAAGUUUGCUUUACUAGAAGGUCCAAAGAGUUUCUUAUUGAUCCUGAUGUAAAUAGAUUUGCCGAGUCAUAGUAAGAAUAACAAUUUAGAUGAUAAAACUGAGGCAGGCCAUUGAA